UUUGUAGUAUUUGUUGACCCAUUCAACUUUUGAACGGUGACAAUAAAAAUAGAAAACUAGGCUAGAGACAUAUGACUAGACUUUGUGUACACAGCAGACGUAUUCAUACAUCACAAUUUUAAGCUACAUUUAGGUUAUAUUCUUUGAGAUUUGUUGUCAAAUCUACUUGUCUGUUGAUUACAAUAAAGAUCUGCAGUGAUACAUAUUGUCCUUCCACAGAUUUUAAAGAAUAAAGAUAAUUCUGGUGUAAAUACGAUACCACUAAACAAUUUUCAUCUGAAGCAAUGCAAUUAAAUCAAAGCGCAUAUGUGAGAAAUGUCAUAUAUGUGAGAAACAGUCACAAUCACACAGUCCUAAGACUGUCUUUGUCACUGUAAGGUAAACUAGCAAAAAAACGGCUUAAAAACGACUUGGCAUACGUGGACUGGCCACACCCUAAAUGAGGGGCAUCACAUGCAUCUACCAUGAAAAAUGACAAAACCAUCCAAACAAAACCCUCAUUUCAGACACAGAAGACAAGGACUGCGACAGACACAGAAGACAAGGACUGCGACCUAAUAUAAAGGGCAAAUCUAGUGGGUUUGUAAUAAAGAUAUUUUUAAUUUCUACAUUUUACCAUCUCAAAGGACUCACUCAUUCAUCUCAAAGGUAAUCACUUGCUCAGUACUGACCCACUGGGAUCUGUAAGAGUGCCCCCUCUGUGCAAGUGUAAAGCAGACAUGUCUAGAACAAGAAACAGUGAGGGGAAUGUGCUAAACCGUGUGGCAAAACUGCCACUCGUCAGCUCAGCGCUGCAGCAGGCCUCUUCCGUCUACACGAGCGUAGUGUGG
rnacentral:lncRNA from 1 species